GAAAAAUCGAUAAUGUUGAAAUUGCGGGCGAAAAAUGUUUACAAAAUGCGUUAGUAGCUGUGGCAUAGCGAUAAUUUUGGGUUUCCUCACCUGCCUUUGGGUAGAAAAUUGCGUUGCCUUGCAAAGGACUCUGCGCCACUACGAGGUAUUUCACAAGGAUGAUGUGCUGCACAGAGUGGUCAAACGGGGAGCCAAGCACAGCACGAACCCCUUCAAUGUGAUCAAGGAGGUCGAGUUCACUACAUUGGGAAAGAACUUCCGCCUGAUCCUGCAUCCGCACAGGGAUGUGCUGCAUAGUAAAUUCCGGGCCUACGCUGUAGAUGCGGAUGGCAAUGAAACCGUGGUGCAUAUGGAUCACGACAGUUUCUAUACGGGUCGGGUUUUUGGUGAACUGGAGUCCUCAGUGCGGGCUCAUAUUGAAGACGGCACCAUGACCAUGUCCAUCCACCUACCGGAGGAGACUUAUCACAUUGAGCCUUCCUGGAGGCACCUGCCAGACGCCAAAAAAGACACCAUGGUGGCCUACAAGUCCUCAGACGUGAAGCUGCACAAAACUGAUGCCGGAGCCGUCCCGAAAACCUGUGGCUAUAUAAAGGAGGGUCUCGAAUUGGAGGACAAGGAAAGUGGAGACGAAUUGGACAAUGAGCUGCAUUCGCGGGAGAAGCGCCAGUCGGACCAGUAUGAAUACACACCCACCAAGACUCGAUGUCCCCUGCUCUUAGUGGCAGACUAUAGGUUCUUCCAAGAAAUGGGCGGAGGCAACACGAAAACCACGAUUAACUACUUGAUUAGUCUCAUCGAUCGGGUGCACAAGAUCUACAACGACACGGUUUGGCAGGACCGCUCUGAUCAGGAGGGUUUUAAAGGCAUGGGCUUUGUGAUCAAGAAGAUUGUGGUGCACUCGGAACCCACGAGACUACGAGGAGGCGAGGCCCACUACAAUAUGAUUCGCGAGAAGUGGGAUGUGCGCAACCUGCUGGAGGUCUUCUCCCGGGAGUAUAGCCACAAAGACUUUUGUCUAGCCCAUCUUUUUACCGAUCUCAAGUUUGAAGGCGGCAUUUUAGGCUUAGCUUAUGUUGGGUCCCCGCGCCGCAACUCCGUUGGCGGCAUAUGUACUCCAGAGUACUUCAAAAAUGGCUACACCCUGUACUUAAACUCUGGGCUGAGCAGCUCCCGCAACCAUUACGGACAGCGGGUUAUUACUCGCGAGGCGGAUCUGGUGACAGCUCAUGAGUUCGGACACAACUGGGGCUCGGAGCACGAUCCCGACAUUCCCGAGUGCUCGCCCAGCGCCUCGCAGGGCGGCAGCUUCCUCAUGUACACCUAUUCCGUUAGCGGUUACGACGUGAAUAACAAGAAAUUCUCACCGUGCUCGCUUCGCUCCAUCCGCAAAGUUCUUCAAGCGAAGUCGGGCAGGUGUUUCUCGGAGCCGGAGGAGUCCUUCUGCGGCAACCUGCGCGUUGAGGGCGAUGAACAGUGCGAUGCCGGGCUGCUUGGCACGGAGGACAACGACUCGUGCUGCGACAAAAACUGCAAGCUGCGCAGAACCCAGGGCGCAAUGUGCAGCGACAAGAAUUCACCGUGUUGCCAGAAUUGCCAGUUCAUGGCUUCCGGGAUGAAGUGCCGCGACGCGCAGUAUGCGACCUGCGAACAGGAGGCCCGUUGUACUGGAGCCCAUGCCGAGUGCCCCAAGUCGCCGGCCAUGGCUGACGGAACAACCUGUCAGGAACGCGGGCAGUGCCGGAUUGGAAAAUGCGUGCCAUACUGUGAAACCCAGGGCCUGCAGAGCUGCAUGUGCGAUAUAAUCGCGGAUGCCUGUAAGCGCUGCUGUCGGAUGAGCAUCAACGAGACGUGCUUCCCUGUUGAGCCACCGGAUGUCCUUCCGGAUGGCACGCCUUGCAUAACUGGAUUCUGUAAUAAGGGAGUGUGUGAGAAGACCAUACAAGACGUCGUUGAGCGCUUCUGGGAUAUUAUAGAGGAGAUAAAUGUGGCCAAGACUCUACGGUUUUUGAAGGAUAAUAUUGUCACUUCAGGACUUGAAACAAAAGGCAAACAGUAUUUUCCUGUAACAAGAAUUGGCCGUGGUGCUCGUCACCGCAGUUUUUUGGAUUCCCAUAAGCUGUGUUAUAUCUUACUUUGAUCGCAAAAAGCUCCGUCACGAAAUGAAGCUAAUCGAGUGGAGCCAGAAGCUGGACCUCAUUCAUCCGAGCGACGAGAGGCGUCGUGUCAUACACAUACGAGUGCCGCGACAGAAAAUUUCAGUGGCGCGAGCUUGCAACUAGCGUGGAAUAAAUCGGCUCGCCUUUGGGUCCUCUUCCAUGAGCCUGGUUCUCAAAACAUUCACAAAUUACACUAAAGAAUAAAAUUACGUAUAGUAUAGUCC